UCUAAAACACGCCUUAAGCGGCUUAAAGAUGCUGAAAGAUUCAUGUUUUAUUUGCUUUAUUCUCCCCUCAGGUUUCAAGUGCCCCGUCUGCUCAAAGUUCAUCUCUGCAGAUGAAAUGGACCUUCAUCUCGUCGUGUGCUUGUCUAAACCUCGAGUGACCUACAAUGAGGACGUCCUGGUGAAGGACACAGGGGAAUGUGCAAUAUGUCUGGAGGACCUGGUGCAGGGAGACACCAUUGCUCGUCUGCCCUGCCUCUGCAUCUAUCACAAAGGCUGUAUCGACGAGUGGUUUGAAGUGAACAGAUCGUGUCCUGAACACCCUUCAGAUUAAACACUCUUUACCCUCCGCACAGGUUUUUUGGCUCGUGGUCGAAAGAAGCGAUGUUUGCCACUAGCGGACGGCGAUGUGAACUCUUCUUCUUCUUCUUCUGACACUGUGACUUCGGUUUGUUCAGGCUGAGCGGGAGCGGCCUGAUCGCUCAAACCCCACCCACUCUUCUCG